rnacentral:rRNA from 1 species
GAUGAACGCUGGCGGCGUGCCUAAUACAUGCCAGUCGAGCGAACAGACGAGGAGCUUGCUCCUCUGACGUUAGCGGGGGACGGGUGAGUAACACGUGGAUAACCUACCUAUAAGACUGGGAUAACUUCGGGAAACCGGAGCUAAUACCGGAUAAUAUAUUGAACCGCAUGGUUCAAUAGUGAAAGACGGUUUUGCUGUCACUUAUAGAUGGAUCCGCGCCGCAUUAGCUAGUUGGUAAGGUAACGGCUUACCAAGGCAACGAUGCGUAGCCGACCUGAGAGGGUGAUCGGCCACACUGGAACUGAGACACGGUCCAGACUCCUACGGGAGGCAGCAGUAGGGAAUCUUCCGCAAUGGGCGAAAGCCUGACGGAGCAACGCCGCGUGAAUGAUGAAGGUCUUCGGAUCGUAAAACUCUGUUAUUAGGGAAGAACAAAUGUGUAAGUAACUAUGCACGUCUUGACGGUACCUAAUCAGAAAGCCACGGCUAACUACGUG